CGGCAGCCCGGUGGACAUCUGACGAGGGCAGCAACAGGUCUUUCGCAGAUCAGAGGAUUGGGCCACGAGAGAGAACCAUGCUGUUUUCCCCUUGGUACCAUAGAGAUAGCAUCUCUCUCGCCCGCUGUCCCUGCUGUCAGACUGGCUGUUGCUCCCAUCCCUGAGUCAAUAUUGACCCCCCGCCCUGCCAGCCGGAGGAGCUGCAGGCAGGCUACGGUGGGAGGGGAUGAAGACCCCCCUAGCGGUCCGACCGGCCGCUAGGGGUCCUACUGCCCGUCAAGGGCACGGUAACGCAGG
ensembl:lncRNA